GUGGAUUAGAUACCCCAGUAGUCCACGCGGUAAACGAUGUGCACUAGGUGUUGGGGCGGAUGUCUCAGUGCCGGAGUUAACGUGUUAAGUGCACCGCCUGGGGAGUAUGCCCGCAAGGGUGAAACUCAAAGGAAUUGACGGGGGCCCGCACAAGCGGUGGAGCAUGUGGUUUAAUUCGAUGGUACGCGAGGAACCUUACCUGGGCUUGACAUAUGGCGUAAUGCUGCAGAGAUGUAGCAGCGUAGCAAUACGGCGUCAUACAGGUGCUGCACGGUUGUCGUCAGCU
rnacentral:rRNA from 1 species